GACGUUACCUACAGAAGAAGCACCGGCUAACUCCGUGCCAGCAGCCGCGGUAAUACGGAGGGUGCGAGCGUUAAUCGGAAUUACUGGGCGUAAAGCGCAUGCAGGCGGCCUGUUAAGUCAGAUGUGAAAGACCCGGGCGUUAACCUCGGAAUUGCAUUUGUAAACUAGGCAGGCUAGAGUCUUGUAGAGGGGGGUAGGAAUUUCAGGUGUAGCGGUGAAAUAGCGUAGAGAUCUGAAGGAAUACCAGUGGCGAAGGCGGCCCCCUCGGACAAAGACUGACGCUCAGAUGCGAAAGCGUGGGGAGCAAACAGGAUUAGAUACCCUGGUAG
rnacentral:rRNA from 1 species